AAGAUCAACUUUGAUGGUGCGAGACAGAAACAAAAUUCGGAAUAUACAGUUCUAAGAGAAAGAAAGAAAGAAGAAAAAAAGAACAGUCAAUUGAUUAGACCUUCCAUGAGGCGUCUCCAAAGAACAAACAAAAUCAGUUAAAACCAAACAUCAUCUCAUCAUGGCCUCCCCCUUUCCCUUUCCGUGCACUCAUCAUACCGGCAGCAGCAAACAAGACAAAUCCCAACAGCAACUAACCGGUCAAACAAGAGUCAAAUUACCCACAAGAUCUCCCCAGCUCGCCGCUCCACCCUUGCGGCGCCGCCGUCGUCUUCCGCCCCAGCGACGACCUCGUCCUCGCCGCCAUGGCGUCCUUCGCCGCCGCGUCCUUCUUGUCCUUGAAGAACCCGAACACCGGCCGCGAGCACACCGGCACGUUCAGCACCACCGGCGCCACGCGGACGCCGGAGGAGUAUGACCGGUCGACGGCGCGGGAGCGUGGCUUCGCCGCGGCGUGGAGGGUGCACGGUGAGCUGGAGCUGCGCUCCAGGCCCUGGAACACGAUCUUGCCGGAGGAGUUCAUGCGCGGGGAGUCGACGGAGAGGCAGCGCGGCGGCGGCGGCGGGGAGGGGCGGCGGCGCGCGGGGCUUCGGCCGGCGCGGGAUGAGGAGGAUGAGGAGGUGGAGUGGCGGUGGGAGGAACGGACGAGGCGGAUGCGGGGCGGGUUGGGGUCAGCGGCGGAGUCGAGGGAGAGGCGCGGGAUGUCGUCGUGGUCGUGGCCGGAGGAAGACGACGACGACGAGAGGGAGAAGCGGGAGGAGGCGAGGGAGAGAGACGCCUCCGAGUCGGAGCUGUCGCGGAGGAGCGGCGCAGAGGCGAGCUCCGACGCGGAGGCCCCGGACGAGCGGCCGUUGUUCCGUUGGAGCAGCAGCUUCAGCGACCUCGCCGCCGUCGAGUUCAUCGCUCUCCCGGGGGUUCUCGCGGGCGCAGACGACGGCGAUGGCUUCGGGCUCUGCGCUGCCGCUCUCUUCAGCCCGAGCAACUCCCGCCACCGGCUCGAGCAGCUGGGCGCCUUAGGAGAGAAAACGUACGGGUCGGCGGCGUCAACCGCGGCGGCAGCCGCCCGUAGUGGCUUCAUCGGCUCCGAAGGCGCCGGCAUUGCCUCAGGCUGCGGCGGCCGUGGCGCCGCCGCAUCCAUCUCCGGCACAGCCGCCGCCUUGCGAAGCGGGAGCAGCUUCCCGUCGGCAAAGAGCUCGUCCGCCGGGAGCAUGGUGGCGGAGCCCCCGAGGCUGAACUCGAAGUCGAUGAAGUCCUUGGAUAUCGCCGGCUCCGGCGUCGUCGUCGUCGCCACCGCCGCCGCGGCGGCCAGGGGCGAAGAACACACGACUCACUAGAUAGGGCUAA
rnacentral:lncRNA from 1 species